rnacentral:rRNA from 1 species
AUGGCGGGGAUCGACCUCAACACCGUGGAGGAGGACGAGGAGGAGUCCUCCGCGGAGCUGCUGCUCGCGGGGAGCGGCGCCGGGGACUGCUCCUCCCAGUCGCAGUCGCAGUCGCAAACCCACUCCCACUCGCACUCGCAGUCGCAGACCCAGUCCGGCCACGGCCAGGGGAGCUCCUCUGUCGCGACGCCGCCGCCGCCGCCGCGGCCCAGCGCGGUGUGCCUCGAGCUGUGGCACGCCUGCGCGGGGCCCGUCGCGCCCAUGCCGCGCAAGGGCGGCGUCGUCGUCUACCUCCCGCAGGGCCACCUCGACCACCUCGGCGACGCGCCCGCGCACGCCGCGCCGUCGCCCGCCGCCGUGCCGCCCCACGUCUUCUGCCGCGUCGUCGACGUCACGCUCCACGCGGACGCGUCCACGGACGAGGUGUACGCGCAGCUCUCGCUGCUCCCCGAGAACGAGGAGGUGGUCCGGCGGAUGCGCGAGGCCACGGAGGACGGGAGCGGCGGCGAGGACGGCGAGACCGUCAAGCAGCGCUUCGCGCGGAUGCCGCACAUGUUCUGCAAGACGCUCACCGCCUCCGACACCAGCACCCACGGCGGCUUCUCCGUGCCGCGCCGCGCCGCCGAGGACUGCUUCCCCCCUCUGGACUACAGCCAGCAGCGGCCGUCUCAGGAGCUGGUCGCCAAGGAUCUGCACGGCACCGAGUGGAAGUUCCGCCACAUCUAUCGAGGCCAGCCGCGCAGGCACCUUCUAACCACCGGAUGGAGUGCGUUUGUCAACAAGAAAAAGCUUGUCUCCGGGGACGCUGUACUGUUUCUGCGGGGCGACGAUGGGGAGCUUAGGCUGGGAGUGCGCCGUGCGGUUCAGCUUAAAAAUGGAUCUGCUUUUCCGGCGCUUUAUAGCCAAUGCUCGAAUCUUGGUACACUAGCUAAUGUUGCUCAUGCUGUGGCUACAAAGAGCAUGUUCCAGAUCUUCUACAACCCCAGGUUAAGUCAAUCUGAAUUCAUUGUACCCUACUGGAAGUUCGCCAAAAGCUUUAGUCAACCAUUUUCUGCUGGAUUGAGGUUCAAAAUGAGAUAUGAAAGUGAGGAUGCUGCUGAAAGAAGGUACACAGGGAUAAUUACUGGAACUGGUGAUGCAGACCCUAUGUGGCGUGGUUCAAAGUGGAAAUGCCUGCUGGUAAGGUGGGAUGAUGAUGGUGAGUUCCGUCGACCAAACAGGGUAUCUCCUUGGGAGAUUGAGCUGACCAGUUCAGCUUCAGGAUCCCAUCUGGCCGCACCAACUUCAAAGCGGAUGAAGCCAUACCUUCCCCAUGCUAAUCCAGAUUUCACAGUUCCACAUGGAGGUGGUCGCCCUGAUUUUGCUGAGUCUGCACAACUCCGCAAGGUCUUGCAAGGUCAAGAAUUAUUGGGUUAUAGAACUCAUGAUGGUACUGCUGUUGCUACUUCACAGCCAUGUGAAGCAAGGAACUUGCAGUACAUCGAUGAACGAGGUUGCUCUAACAAUGGGAGUAACAAUGUCCUAGGGGGGAUCCCAAGCCAUGGUGUGAGAACACCACUUGGAAUUCCCUACCAUUGCUCUGGCUUUGGGGAGUCUCAGAGAUUCCAAAAGGUCUUGCAAGGUCAAGAAGUUUUCCGUCCGUACCGAGGAAGUCUGGUUGAUGCACGCAUGAGAAAUGGCGGCUUUCAACAACAAGAUGGUCCUUAUGCAUCUGCUCUGUUGGAUAAAUGGCGCGCUCAACAACAGCAUGCGUUCGGUUUCGGGCCACCAGCACCAGUUCUACCGUCUCAGCCAUCGUUAUCACCACCUUCUGUGCUGAUGUUUCAGCAGGCUGAUCCAAAGGUCUCUCGAUUCGAGUUUGGGCAUGGGCACUUGGAUAAGAACGUGGAUGAUCCGUAUGCUAGGUUUGUCUCCGCUGAAGGCAUUGGAAGGGGAGAGCAAAUGUUGUCGCUCCGGCCUCAUCUUGGUUCAGAAGUGAUCGAUAGUGGUGUUGCAGUUGAGAACAAGGGUGUUGCACCUACCAACAGUUGCAAGAUAUUUGGCAUUUCUCUGGCUGAAAAGGUUCGGGCACGGGAUGAGAUGGGCUGUGAUGAUGGUGCUGCCAACUAUCCAUCUCCAACACAGCCCUUGAAGCAGCAAGUGCCGAAAUCCCUUGGCAACAGUUGCGCCACUGUUCAUGAGCAGAGGCCUGUUGUCGGCAGGGCGAUCGAUGUCCAACAAUGGAUAUGA